UACGUAGGGUGCAAGCGUUGUCCGGAAUUAUUGGGCGUAAAGAGCUCGUAGGCGGUCUGUCACGUCGGACGUGAAAAUCCAGGGCUCAACCCUGGACCUGCAUUCGAUACGGGCAGACUAGAGUUCGGCAGGGGAGACUGGAAUUCCUGGUGUAGCGGUGAAAUGCGCAGAUAUCAGGAGGAACACCGGUGGCGAAGGCGGGUCUCGUGGGCCGAUACUGACGCUGAGGAGCGAAAGCAUGGGGAGCGAACAGG
rnacentral:rRNA from 1 species